rnacentral:lncRNA from 1 species
GGUAAACCUAAACAAGAAGACAUUUAGGCUGGGCAUAGUGGCACAUGCCUGUAAUCCCAGCAACUUGGGAGGCUGAGACAGGAGGAUCAAUAGUUCAAGGCAAGUCUCAGCAAUUUAGCAAGACCCUGUCUCAAAAUAAAAUAGAGAUGGGGAUGUUGCUCAGUAGUUAAGUGCUCUCUGGUACCUUCCCCCUCAAAAAAAAAAAAAAAAUUCCUGCUCAAGAUGGGUCUUAGCUGUGUUUCAUUCAGCCAGAGGAAUCUUUUUUGGGUGUGUGAUGCUGGGGAUUGAACCCAGGGCCUUGUGUAUGUGAGGCAAGCACUCUGCCAACUGAGCUAUAUCCCUGGAUAUAUUAGGAAUUAGGAAUCUUAAUCUUAGAAAAUAAAUGUGUUUAAGACUAAAAUUCCAAGAGAUGGGUUCAGAAGCAAGCAGAACAGUUGGGGAAGAUCUCCCUAGGACGAUAUAGCAAAGGAUGGAACCGAGGAGAAAGGAAAGCCCAUGGAAUGGGGCUCUGGAAGCUCAGCUCUAGGAAGAGUGAUGAAAGGGAACUUUGGAGAGAUCAUGACAGCUUUCCCAACACUGAAGAAGGGGAAAAAUAACCAAGCACUGAGCAGGAUGAAUACUUAAAAUUCCACAUCUGGAUAUAUCAGGACUCCAAUGAUGAUGAUUAAAAAGAACACAGAGCCAAGCAUGGUGGUGCAAAAAAAAAAAAUUACACAGAAAUGGAUUUCAUGGAGGCUGGGGAUGUGGCUCAAGCGGUAGCGCGCUCCCCUGGCAUGCGUGCGGCCCGGGUUCGAUCCUCAGCACCACAUACAACACAAAGAUGUUGUGUCCGCCGAUAACUAAAAAAAAAUAAAUAUUAAACUUCUGUCUCUCUCUCUCCCCCCUCACUCUCUCGCUCUCUUAAAAAAAAAAAAGAAAUGGAUUUCAUGGUCUAGAAAAUAUCAAGAUAACAAUGUACAUUGGUCUAUUUACUAUGAUAUUGCUAUACCAACAAGGGAGGGACUGGGAGAACAGUGAGAAUGCAGUCACAGAUCUAUGCAUUUAUAAAAUCCUUCACUGGGGAAAGCUGGUAUUAUAAAUCAGUGGGAUCGGGGCUGGGGAUGUGGCUCAAGCGGUAGCACGCUCGCCUGGCCCGGGUUCGAUCCUCAGCACCACAUACAAACAAAGAUGUUGUGUCCGCCGAAAACUAAAAAAUAAAUAUUUUUAAAAAUAAAUAAAUAAAUCGGUGGGGAAGGAUGCUCUUUAAGUUACUGAGAUUGAAAUAACUGGACUUGGGCUGGGGUUACAGCUCAGCGGCAGAGCACUUGCCUCGCACAUGUGAGGCACUGGGUUCGGUCCUCAGCACCCAGCACCACAUAAAAAUAAAUAAAGAUAUUGUGUCCAUAUAAAAAAAUCUUUUUUUUUUUAAAGAGAGAGAGAGAAUUUUUUAAUAUUUAUUUUUUAGUUUUUGGCGGACACAACAUCUUUGUUUGUAUGUGGUGCUGAGGAUCGAACCCGGGCCGCACGCAUGCCAGGCGAGCACGCUACCGCUUGAGCCAC